AGUCACUGGGCUAAGUCCAAUGGAUAGUAUAACAGUAAAUCCCUGACCUCAAAUAAUUCUGAUCAAGAACCAGCACUGGGAGUGAGCCAACCUUUAAAGAGAUGUUAACACAGCAUACUCCUAACUGGAUUUUCAUAGUGUCUGGUAUAUAGGAGGAAAUCAAUAAAUAUGCUUCAAUGGAUGAAAAACUAAAUGUGCUAUUGCCACCAAGGGAAAACUGCCUCCAAAUUACAUGUAUCAUGAAGUAAAAAUAUCCAAUAAGAUGAAGAGAUUGGUCACAUCCCUUGAGUAGAGAUGGGGUUUCACCAUGUUGGCCAGGAUGGCAGGAUGGUCUUGAUCCCUUGACCUCAUGAUCUGCCCACCUUGGUAUCCCAAAGUGCUGGAAUUACAGGUGUGAGCCACCGUGCCCGGCCCUUCCAUCUCUUCAACUAUUUUGCCCAUCUUUCCCCCAUCUUGGCGGCAUAUGAUAAAGUCCUUCUAAUUCCAAUAACUAAAUCACCUGUGCAUCUC